GGAGCCGUGACCACCGAGCCUCCGCUCUCUCUCUCUCUUGGCCCUCGCUCACUUAUACUAUAUCUCUAGGGAAACCUAGCUAAGACGCUCCCUCCUCUCCUCUCGCAAUAACAAGACGGAGGAGAGCAAAGCUCUUCUUCCCAAGUAAGUAAGAUAGUGAUCCUAGAGGGAGGGAGGGAGGGCAUCCCAUGUGCUUGGCCUUCCAAGUUAAAGGAGCUAGCUCUUUAGACCAGGUAAGGUUUGUUCAUGGCGUCGUGGUUCGAUCGUGCCAACUUGAUAACUCGGUUUGUUCGCGAGACCGUUCCUUUUAGACUUUGGCCAUGGUUUUUUGUUUGUUUGUUUUGUUUAGAUUAGAUCGAGAUGACCCGUACAAACCAACCUCAUGAUUUUUAGAUUAAGCUUUUGAUGUUGCCCAACUUGAUGCAAUUUUUUUUUCGUCGAUUCUAAUUUGCUACAACUAGCUAGUCGCUUCUGCCAUGCAUGCUUCUAUCGGAUGGGUCGAUCGAAGGAGGGUUUUGAGUCCCACUCCCACUUCUUCUUCUCUUAAUGUUCUUGUAAUCACGCCGAUGCCGAAACCACAUACGCUAUAAAUGAGUUACCUUUGAUUUCAUGCAAUGCACUGAAUUACCUUUGAUCAAUUUAGAGAUUUGUUUGUUUGAUUAAUGAAAAUAUGUAUGUAUGUAUGUUUCCACUGGCUGGGUUGGGCUGGGCUGUUUGGGAACUGGGAUUUUUAAAUGGUGGCAAAUAGUAACUAAAAUUCAUACAAGGUUAAUUACCACACGGACACAGUCAAAGAAGAUAGUAAGUAUAUAUGAAGAAGAAGAGCACAUGUGCAUCGUGGAGGACACAAUCAGAAAGUAAGUUUCUUUGUCACAAUCAUUCACUCCUCAGAUUCUAUAAAGAGCACGCCCACACAGUGCCACUCCCAAACACACAGCUAGCACACCACUCUCUCACACUCAACACACAAUGACUCGCAGCAAGAUGCCUGCACGUAAGGUGAUGGGGGUGCUGCUCUUUCUUGCUCUCCUGUGGAGCAGCCACCUGGUGAUGGUAGCCGAGGCUGCCGAGGAUAUCCUUCCGUCAGACGAGCUGAGCCUUGAGGUUCUUGCACUGCUCGAGGACAUCAUGAAGUCCAACCUGUGCCCGGCAGCAUGCGUGACCUGCUUGGUGCAGGUCGGGAAGAGCUGCCCUCUCAUCUUGAUGAUGUUUGCUCCAUGCGUCCUUGGUAAGGUCAUGGCAGACCAGAGCUGCCCUCUCACCUUGAUGAUGUUUGCUCCAUGUUUGCUCGCAGCGCCGCUUCUUCUUCUACCUUGAGCUGCCUCACACAACUCUCUCUCUCUCUUCUUUCUAUCUUCUCUCAAGAACACACGCACACGCUCACGCACACAACCAAGGGAGAAACCGACUACUAGCUUUGCCAAGAGGUCAGCUCGUUGGUUCACACGAGAGACUACAUUUUUUCUACCAGAGCCCUCACGGCUUCAUUCUCAUUAAUCAAAGCACUAUUUAUACAAGGGACUAUGCACACACGAACCAGCCACUGCUCUCGGCAGCCCCACUAAUGGCACGAUCUCCAUGCACGCACACUCUCAACGGCCACACGACGUAGCCCACUGGGACCUUUUCUCAUCCCAACUAACUCACGCAUGAAGCUAGCAACUAUCUGCAUGCAACUAACUACCUAAACCGAACGCAUACACUUAUCACUACAAGAGUUGACCGGAUGAGCCGGCUCAACCUGUCACGCUCCAGCCUCUUGUGCGACUUGCCGCUUCACGCACCACCACGGCUUCACGCCGCAUCGGCAUCUUUCCAUACUCGCCGCAUCGCACGACAGCGCGACAUCUCGCCUCCUUCGCACACCUUGCCUGAAACUUGACAGGACUCUCUACUCGAUCCCUAGACCAUCUAAGUUACAUGCAGGACUCAAAACAAAUAUUCAGAUACAAAUAUCAGUUUUGCUAGAACUCAUCUAGAUGAGAUUUAAUUUGGUCUCAUUCAUCAUUUAUAACCGUUGGAUGUGGUGCUAUAAGAUGCAUGUGUGCUGACAUGGGCUGUAUCCGUUCUUGUUUUCCAGGUGAAUAAGACCAAAUUACGUCUCAUCUAGAUGAGUUCUAGGUACUCCCUACAAAUAUCAAGAUUAAACCUAACAACAUUGACCGGAGCACUGCCGGCCGAGAUCCGCCGCGGGCAGGCCCCAGGCCGCCGCCUGGUCGCUCGCCGUGCCUGCAGGUCGCGCCGCAGGGAGGCCCCAAGCCACCGUCCGGUCGCCAUUGACCCAUUUGUGCUCGUCGGCGUCCGCGACGCCGUUAGGGCGCUCCAUGCGGGGAGCGGCGAGGAGCAGAGGCUGCGGAUUCCACCCUCCACCGAGCAGGUGACUCCUCGAGGCGUGGCGGGAGGCGGGGCAGCUCUGGUGGCGAAGGGCGCGGGGCGGGCGGCUCCAGCGGCGACCCGUAGUCUGGCGGCUCCAGCGGCGACCCGUGGCUCCAGCGGCGAAGGGCAGCGGUGGCGGCUCCAGCGACGACCUGCGGCUGCCGCGGCGAGCGGCUCCAGGGGCGAAGGGUGGCAGGCGACACCCGCGGCCAAGGGCGGCGGCUCCAGCGGCGAGAGGUUUUCGCGGCUGCACUUGCGGCGAAGUGUGGCUCCGGCUGCACCUGUUGGCCACGCUGGCACCUGAACUAUGGGCCUGGCCUGGCAGAAACGUGAUUAACCGCAGUAAAGCGGGCGGUUCCACGACUUGGUAGUUUUUUGCCACUGAUUAGGUAAAAAGUGGUAGUUUUCCACACAAAAUCGUAAAGUGGUAGUUUCUGACCACGUUUUCAUGAAAUGUGGUAGUUUUUGGUUAAAUACUCCAUCCUUGAGGAAGAUUAUCCAGAUUCGCAAUCUGUAGCUUGCCAAGCACAGGUGCAAGCAGUUUGGGGCACUCAGGUAGAACCCAAAUCUGGCAUGUACAAACUGCAAACAAAUUACAUUACACCCUCGAGAGCUAGAAAAGGGACUUUGUUAAGUUAUUAAUAUUACUAUUAUAAGCAUAUAGAAAUAGGAAUGAGACAUAUAUGGAUGACUAGUGAGUACCUUUUCACUUUGAAAAUCCAGACGCAGGUCGGUUAUCCAGGCUACAUUAGCAAGGAGCUCACUUAACUUGAUAUUACUAGCCGAACUAACACCAACUUUCCAAGGAUUAGCUUUGAAAGCUGCGGGACAGAAGCAAAAAAUCAGGCGAUCUUGUUGGUGGGCGAGCGGGAAGGACCGGGGCGUCGCCCACGACGCAGACGAGACCGGCGGCGGCUUAUGGUGGCGCGGUCGAUGAGGACCUGCUGGAUCUCGCCGGAUCUGGUGGGAUGGCGCGCAGGCGGCGGAUCCGGAAGGAAAGCGGCCCGAGCUUGGAGCACGAGGCAUGGCGUGGGAGGACGGGAGGAAGGAGAUGGGAGCGGUGAGGUGCGGCGGUGGUCCCGCUUCAGGGUGGACGCGGUCCGGGCCGGUCCGGUCCCUGACCGAGCCUUGCUUUGGACCGGCCGUGGCCGGUCCGGACAGGACCGGACCGAGAUGUCCAGCGAGCCGUUUUUUCUGGACCGGACCGUGUGAGCGUCAGCUCGGUUAGGCCCGAGAGGACCGAAUGGACCGGCUGGUGUUGCCUGGGAGUCUGUUUUUGUUGUGUUUAGCUGCUGUGUAGGCACCUUUUGAUUCUGGAAAGCAAAUGAAGCAAACAGAGGACAGAGGAGGAGAUCGUCAUGCAAAAUGAUCAGUUUACGGCUCCAACUGACGAAACUGUAUUGUCUGACAAAACUGACGAAACUGAAGAAAACUUUAUUGUCUGACGAAACUGAAUUCUAACAACUUACGGCUAUA